GACGCUUGGGACGAAACUAAUAUU
rnacentral:siRNA from 1 species